UAUGAUUUCAUAAAAUGUUUUAAUGUGUCAUUGCAUCUCGGUUUAUUGUCUUGAAAUGUUACAUUGAGAUUGGAACGCAUAUUGGUAUGAAGAUUCAUAGUUCUAUGUUGUGGAAAUGGUUCAUGGUGUGGUUGCACGACAAUAAGGAUAUGGAAUAAUCAUAGAUGAUAUUCAGAUAAUUGAUUGAUGGGAAGCUACAGGCAUUAUCUUUUGAUAUAUUGUUUAUGUGGGACCGUGGAUCCUUUGGGUGAAAGUCCUUAAAGCCCUCGAGGAAGACACUUUGAAGUAGGUGUAUGGGGUUGGUCCUGCCCCUAGGUUUUAAUCCCUAAGGACACGGGGUUGGUCCUGCCCUUAGGAAUGAGUCCCAAAAGACACGGGGUAUAACAUGCCCUUGGGUAAUGUCCCAUAAUAGUCAUUAUUAUAUUGAUCGUGUAUCUUGUGGAGCUUUGAUAUCUUAUAUAUAGAUUGGCGGGGGUGAACAGUUUAUCAGUUGUGGAAGGAUGUAUAAGGAAAAGUAAAGAUGAAACCUACAAACACAUGCAUACAUGUUUGACAUGAUUGCAUAUUUGUUAAUGGUUAUUAAAUAUUUAUCGUGCAUGCUAUUACAUGUUUAAUUCAAAGUUUUUAAGGGUAUACUUAGGAUGGCUAUAAACGUUCCUAUUGAGUUGUGAAUGCGCCUUAUCCCUUCCACCUUUAGAUGUAGGUCAAAAGACCUAUGCAGGAAAUAUUGAUAGUGUUUUGAGGCUUUGCCUUUGUAUUAAAGACUGAAUCUUUUUGUAGAAAUGAUGUUAUAUAUAUAUAUAUAUAUAUAUUUGUUAGGUACACUUGUAAUAUGGACUACCCGUAAUGAACCAUGGGGUUUUGGUAUAUGUAAAUUAAUGUAGUACAAGUUUCUUUUGUGAAACGAAACAUAUUUUGUUAACUAAUAGGUACGAAGUUUAAUAUAAGAUGCACUCUUUAUAAUAGGUUUUGCAUCCUCCUUUUGCACAAAAUCAAGAAGGAACUCAGCAUUUAAAUUUUUGUAUCCCCAUAUCUUUGAGAGCACUUAUAUUGUAUUUGAGAAUCAAUUGUUCAGUUUAAAAGAAAAAAAAAAGAAAAAAAAAAUUGGUGUGUGACAAUAUAAGUGUAUGGGUGUAUGGGGUUAGUCCUACCCUUGGGUUUUAGUCCCUAAAGACACAAGGUUGGUCCUACCCUUGGGUAUAAGUCCCAAAAGACACGAGAUAUGACUUGCCCUUGGGUGAUAUCCAUAAAUAGUCAUUAUUAUAUUGACCGAGUAUCUUAUGGAGCAUUGAUAUUUGAUAUAUAGAUUGGUGGGGGUGAGCAGUUUAUUAGUUAUGAAAGGAUGGACGAGGAAAAGCAAAGAUGAAACCAGUAAACACAUACAUACAUGUUUGACAUGAUUGCAUAUUUGUUAAUGGUUAUAAAAUGUUUAUCAUGCAUUAUAUUACAUGUUUAAUUCAAAGUUUUUAAGGGUAUGCUUAGGAUGAUUAUAAACUUUCCUACUGAGUUGUGAACCCACCUUAUCCCUUCCACCUUUAAAUGCAAGUCAGAAAACCUAUGCUUGAAAUAAUGCUUAAGCAUUGCUUUACUGUGAUUGGAUGCUAUUUGUUCGCAUUGAUACUGUUUUGAGGCUUUGCCUUUGUAUUAAAGACUGAAUCUUUUCGUAGAAAUGAUGUUAGGUACACUUGUAGUAUGGGCUACCCGUAGUGAACCAUGGGGUUGGCGCAUAUGUAAAUUAAUGUAGUACAAGUUUCUUUUAUGAAACGAAACAUAUUUUGUUAACUAAUAGUUACAAAGUUUAAUACAAGAUGUACUCUUUAUUAUAGGUUUUGCAUAUCCUCUUUUUGCACAAAAUCAAGAAGGUACGUAGCAUUUAUAUUUUUGUAUCCCCAUCUCUUUGAGAGCACUUAUAUUGUCACACCCCGGUUUUUCUUUUUCUUAAGCUGACCAAUUGAUUCUCAAAUACAGAAUAAAUGCUCUCAAAGAUAUGGGGAUACCAAAAUUUAAAUGCUGAGUUCCUUCUUGAUUUUGUGCANNNNNNNNNNNNNNNNNNNNNNNNNNNNNNNNNNNNNNNNNNNNNNNNNNNNNNNNNNNNNNNNNNNNNNNNNNNNNNNNNNNNNNNNNNNNNNNNNNNNUGUGUCCGCGUGUAGCCCAUUACACAUACGAAUUCACACCCCGGUAAUUUUUUUUGUUAAACUGAACAAUAGAUUAUCAAAUACAAUAUAAAUGCUGUCAAAGAUAUGGGGAUACCAAAAUUUAAAUGCUGAGUUCCUUCUUGAUUUUGUGCAAAAGGAGGAUAUGCAAAACCUAUUAUAAAGAGUGCAUCUUAUAUUAAACUUCGUAACUAUUAAUUAACAAAAUAUGUUUCGUUUGACUAAAGAAACUUGUACUACAUUAAUUUACAUAUACCAAAACCCCAUGGUUCACUAUGGGUAGCCCAUUCUACAAGUGUACCUAACAAAUAUAUAUAACAAAAGAUUCAAUCUUUAAUACAAAGGCAAAGCCUCAAAACACUAUCAAUGCGAGCAAACAACAUCCAAUCACAGUAAAGCAAUGCUCAAACAUUAUUUCUUGCAUAGGUUUUCUUACUUGCAUUUAAAGGUGGAAGGGAUGGGGUGGGUUCACAACUCAGUAGGAAAGUUUAUAACCAUCCUAAGCAUACCCUUAAAAUUUUUGAAUUAAACAUGUAAUAGAAUGCAUGAUAAAUAUUUUAUAACCAUUAACAAAUAUGUAAUCAUGUCAAACAUGUAUGCAUGUGUUUGCUAGUUUCAUCUUUGCUUUUCCUCGUCCAUCCUUUCAUAACUGAUAAACUGCUCAGCCCCACUAAUCUAUAUAUCAGAUAUCAAUGCUCCACAAGAUACUCAGUCAAUAUAAUAAUGACUAUUUAUGGAUAUCACCCAAGGGCAAGUCAUACCCCGUGUCUUUAUAGGACUCAUACCCAAGGGUAGGACCAACCCUGUGUCUUUAGGACUAAAACCCAGGGGUAGGACCAACCCUGUGUCUUUAGGGACUAAAACCCAAGGGUAGGACCAACCCCGUGUCUUUAGGGAAUUAAACCCAAGGGCAAGACCAACCCCAUACACCCACAUCGGAGUGUCUUCCUCGAGGGCUUUAGGGACUUUCACCCAAGGACCCACGGUACCACAUAAACAAUAUAUCAAAAGAUGAUGCCUGUAGCAUCACAUGAACACUUCCCACCAAUCAAUUCUCUUAAUAUCAUCUUUGAUUAUUCUAUAACACAGAACCAUGCAACCACACCAUGAACCAUUUUCCACAACACAAAACCAUGAAUCUUCAUACCAAUAUAUGUCCCAAUCUCAACGUAAUAUUUCAGCUCAAUAAACCAAGAUAUAGUGACAGAUUAAAACAUUUUAUGAAAUCAUAGACUCUGAAUAUCAUCUUUGAUUAUUCUACAACACAGAACCAUGCAACCACACCAUGAACCAUUUUCCACAAUACAGAACCAUGAAUCUUCAUACCAAUAUAUGUUCCAAUCUCAACGUAAUAUUGCAGCGCAAUAAACCAAGAUAUAGUGACACAUUAAAACAUUUUAUGAAAUCAUAGAAAUGACAUGAAAUUUCCAAUAAAUGUUUCAAGGACAGAAAUCAGAUACACCAUGGGAUGUUAUAAUAUUCCCUACCUUACACAAACUUUCCCACUGUGAUUCUUUUACACAGGCGAUCUUUACCUAUUACAAGGAAUUGAAAUGAAACACAUAAUUUAGACUUCCUAACGAUGAAGAUUUAUAUAAUUUACUAUUGCUAAUUUUUUAAUUAUAAAAUUCUCUAAUUAAUUACCAAACACUAAUUGUUUUGAUUUUCUUAAAGUCUAACCUAUUAACAAAUCCCAAGUGUCCAAAUAACCUAAUUAAUCACAUGUUCACUAAUAUAUUUUUCAAUUAAAUAAGAUUUAUGUUGAUCUUACCAUUAAUAAAAUACUUAAUCUAAAAUACUUUAAUCCCUAAUUAAUUAUGAUUUUUAACUAAAACAUGUUUAUAGCUAAUAACACUCAACUUUUACACAAAUUUUACCGUUAAUUUGUUUCAGCAUACCAUUAGGAACUAAAAAAAACCAAAAUUACUAAAUUAAACAACUUGCUUAGCUGAAAUCUUCACUUUCUCUCUCAAGAACCUCUCUCUAACCCAAGCUGCUGCUGUUAAAAUGGUGCAAAACGAGUUGCAAGCCCUUAUAUAGGGCUCUCCAUGCAACCAAGUAGGAGGUGGUAGGCCACAUGGCUGCCACCAAUCCACCCAAGUAAGAGGUGGCAUGCCACUUAGCUGCCACUAACUCCAACUUCCCAAUUUUGCACUUUAGUCCUUCAAGUUAUCAAAAAUAAAACCCAUAAUUGCCCAUUAGUCCUUUAGUUUUUCAUAACUAUAAUCAGCCCCUAAGAACUUAAUAAGCAUGGUUAAGUCAUUAACUAAUCUCACUUAACCUUAAUCAAAGUUUAAUUCACAAUUAAAAAGGAUUGACACUAAACUAGUUUUAACAUCUAACUAAAACACGUUUAAAGUUAAGUACUAAUAUAAUCAUUAUUGCCUAUUUAAUUCAUUGGUGCUAAGUAUUACAUAUACUAUAUUUGAGUAUCAAUUGUUCAGUUUUUUUAAAAAAUAAAAAUCGGGGUGUGACAAUCUAGGUUUGUUCUUAGUCCCUUUGGGUUCCAAACAUUUGGAUGCAAUCCUAGGUUUGACCUAUGUACAUUGUUUGUUCCUUUGGUUUCCUAGGUUCUAUCAUUGGUCAUUCUAACUUCCUAAGGUUUUCCAUCAAUGGGAUGCCAUCCUAGUUUCCAUUUAAGCUUAUUUCUUUGUUGUUUUUGUUUCUCAUCAUUGAGGGUAAAGUCAGUUCAAAAUCUAUUUGGCUUCAAACCAAGCAAGCCAUUUUGGAAAUAUUGCUAGAGCGAUGUCGUGAUGUUUCAGCUUAUUAUACUAAAAGUAAGGUUCUUCAAGUUUUGAGGAACUAUUUUGACAACAUUCUAUUUUAAUUUGCAUGCAAAAUGAGGUUGUUGUAGUUGCAGCAGGGAGGUUGGAGGAUAAGAAUGUAAUGGUAAGAAAAUCUGCAUUGAAUUUAUUUUUCAUGAUGUUGCAGUGUAACUCUUUUAGGCCACAACUUCAUAUAGCUUUUUUUCAAGUAGCCUUAGAGUAGUAGAAGUUAAGUGACCUUCAACAAAUUGAUGUAUAUGGAGUCAUGUCAACUCCUCGUCAUUGUCAGUUGAGAUCCUGAUCCCUAAUCUGUAAUAUCCUCUAGCUCUCUCCUACUCUCCUUCGUAAUUAUCGUUACUUUUUUCUAGUUUUUUGUUGGGUGGAUCUCGUUUUUUUGUUUUUGAAUACUCGGAUUUGGAACCAUCAAUAUUGUUUGGUGAGAAUGGGAAUUUUUUUGGGUUUCUGGUUUGGUUCCAGAGAAAAGCUGGGGAAUAUAUAAGAAAUGGAAGUUUUUGGUUCAAAGUCUAGUUUUUUUUAAAAUAAAAAAUAAAUAAUGCAUUCCUCUAUGUUUUCAGCCAAACAAAGGUUUAAUAAUUUUGAAUUUUUUUUUUUGUUUUGACUAAUAUUUGCAUCCGGAUUUUGCUUUGCAUGGCAAGAAUUUUCAGGUUUGGUGUUAUUUUAAUGCUUUUGUUAAGAUAAUUGUGUGUUUGGUUGCGGAGAAAAUCAUGGAAAAGAAAAGAAUUGAUUCUUAUGGCUUAUUUGAUUCAGUUUCUUGAAAAUAAAAAAUAAAAAAUGAACUCCCUUCAGCCAACAAAUGAUUCAAGGAAAGAUAUUAGAUACACCAUAGAAUAGCAUAAAAUUCCCUACCUUACACCAAUUUCCUUUUUGUGUUUCUUCUAUGUAGGCGAUCUUUGCAUAUUACGAGGAACUGAAAUAAACAACAUAAUUUAGAUUUCCUAACCAUUAAAAGUUAUGAAAAUUUUCUUUCUUACUAAUUUUUAACAACUUUUUGUUAUUAAUUUUUUUUAAUUCUCAUAUUCCCCAAUUAAUUAUCAAACACUAAUUCUUUUAAUUUUCUUAAAGCCUAACCUAUUAACAAAUCCUAAGUGUCCAAAUAACCUAAUUAAUCACAUGUUUACUAAUCUAUUUUUCAAUCAAACCAAAUUAAACAAAGAUUCAUGUUGAUCUUAUCAUUAAUAAAAUACUUAAGCUAAAAUACUUUAAUCCUUAAUUAAUUGUGAUUUUUUUUAACUAAAACAGGUUUAUAGCUAAUUACAAAAUAAACGAAAAUUACAAAAUUAAACAACUUGCUUACCUCAAAUCUACACACUCUCUCUCUCUAAGCCAAGUUGCUGCAGGUGAACUAGUGCAAAACGAGCUGCAACCCCUUUUAAAGGGGUCUCCAUGUAGCCAAGCACGAGGUGGUAGGCCACAUGGCUGCCACCAAUCCACCUGAGUAGGAGGUGGCAUUCCACUAACUUCAAUUUCCCAAUUUUGCACUUUAGUCCUUCAAGUUAUCAAAAAUAAAACCCAUAAUUGCCCAUUAGUCCUUUAGGUUCUCAUAACCCUAAUCAGUCCCUAAGAACCUACUAAGCAUGCUUAGGUCAUUAACUAAUCCCACUUAACCUUAAUCAAAAUUUAUAUCAUAAUUAAACAUGAUUAGCACUAAACUAGUUUUAACAUCUAAUUAAGCAUGCUUAAAGUUAAGUACUAAAAUAAUCCUUAUUGCCUAUUUAAUUCAUUAGGACUAGGUAUUACAUAGAGAGUGACUCUCUUGUCCUAUGAUGUGAGGUGAGAGUGAAAUAAAACAUUCUAGGAGAAUGAACUUCUUUUGUAGAUGUUGAGCCAUGGUGAGCAACCCCCUGUUCCAAACCCCACCCUACCCCCUAAAACGUGAACUUUGUGACUUGUGAGUACUUGGUUAGCACCCUUGUUUUAGGCAUCCUAUACUGGACUUGUUUUACUUAUAAAAAUCUCAUUGUAACCCUAGUUUAGUUUUGUUAUGAUAAUUUGCCAAUAUGUUUGUAUCAAUAUAUUAGACCUCUUCUUUUGCAGCAUUAGAUAUGGGACCAUGAUUAAUGCUUGGAAGUGAUUUACCACUUGCAUGGUAGUUGGAAUCAUUUGAUUGAAGGGAAGAUAUAAAUCUAUUUUGCAUUUAUUUGCUAACAUGGAUGGGUUGUUAUGUAAGAUUGUUGUAUGAUGGUGAUGCUGGUAAUGCAUCAACAUGCUAUUUUAGCAAAAAGUAUAUAACUUGUUAAGGAAGAAUUUAUUCAGUUAUAGACAGUGUGUUCUUUCUAUGUAGCAUAUGUUUCUUCUACAUGUCACUAUAAAUGGAUGCAGAAUAUUGGUGAUUGUUCCCUUGCCCUAUAAUUAGCUAAUUGGAAGUGGUGAGGACAUACAUACAUGGUAAAGAAUGCAAGUUUUUAUGAUUCAUGUUAAUUAUAUUGGAUCUCCAUUUCCCUUCCAUCACAACUCUUAGUGAAAAGUGUGGAGAGGACAAACCGUGAGCAAAACCCUUCCUUCUAUUUAAGCCCAUGUCCCGAAGAGUUAUGUUAAUAUGACUUAGCUUUAGCAUUCAUUAAAGAUGGAGAACAUCAUUUGAAGAUGAACGUUGUUAGAACUUUUCUACUCAAGACACAAUUUCUUUAAUUGCAUUCCAGAUACAAGCAUGCCAUUAUUAUGUUGUGAUUGGUUAGUCAAUUGGAACAUUAGAUACUACCUUAAUAGUAUAAAGGUACUUCCUUAAUGUACCUUAGGUACAACCUUAGUGCACCUUAGGUACAACCUAGUUAAAUUUCCCUUUAACUAAUUAAAAGCGAUUUUCUCAACAAAAAAAAGGUAGUAAUAUAUUUAUUUAUUAUAAUAUUGAAAUUUCUAUUUAUAAAAGUUUAUAGUAAAAUAUAAACAAUUUAUUUAGGAGGCGUUGGGAUAUACUUCUCAAGGAAAACAAUUUUUUUUUUUUCUUUUGGGUCCUUGGGCUAUUUAAGAUGAGGUUAAAAAAUAAUUGGAGGGCCCAACUAAAAAUACAAGCCCAUUGGGUCCUUUCAUUCCAACAAACAAAAGAUUGAAAAGGCCCAACUAAAAUGCAAGCCCCCUCAGUACUUUCAUUCCCUUGGUUGGAUGCCUAUUCUGAGGAAUUUAAUUCUUAGCCCAACCUGGCCCAUAUAUUUUUAAGGGGUUCAGGUUUGAGCUCCGUUUUAAUUUGAGGUGAGGCCCAAAAUUCAAGUUGGGCAAGCCAAUGGGUCGAAUUCAGGUCAAAAAUAAAUUUGGCACAACCCAAUCUUUGGGUACAUGGUGAUUAAAUUUUUAACUUAAAUAUCAAUUACAAUACUUUAAAUUAAACAAAUUGAAGGAAAAAAAGAAAAAAAGGAAAACCAAUUUGUGUCCCAUAUUAAAGUUUUCAAAAAAUUAUUUAUAUUUUAAAUUAUUAUUUAAUAUAAAAAAUAAUUAAAAACACCUAAGAUUUGUUCUAAAAAUAAUAAUUUAUUUUUAAAAUGUUAUAAUUGUAGUAAUGAAUGUCACCACAUUAAUGUUAAUUAAGUAUUAUUUAUGACUUCCAUUAAUACUCACUAAUGGAAGCCAUUAAUGUUAUUUAUGAGUUUCAUUAAUAUUCAUUAAUGGGGAUAUUAAUGGAAGCCAUUUGGAAAGCCUAUAAAAGGGCUUCCCUGUAAUACACAUCCCAAGAAAAAGAAAGAAAAAUUCUUCCUCUCAUUCUCUCUCUCUCUUUUCAUUCUCUCAAGUCUCUUCUCUGAUUUCUUCUUCCUUAUUAUAUAUCAAAGUAAGAUAUAUUUCAUCUAUACUACUUUGAUUUGCAUUGUAUUUGUCCUUGUUUUAGAACACGUUAUCAACACGAAUUGCUCUGAAGGUAAUUCUCGUAUCUUAAACUUGAAGUUAUUUAUAUAGAAUAAAAUUUUGCAUAUUUAUAUUAUUGUUGAUUUGUUUUGUUACAUAUUGUUAAAAGUUAUAAACAAAUUAUUUGAUUUUGUUUAUAAUCAAAGUUAUACCAAUGCUAUCAAGUUAUUAUAACUGAUUCUAAUAAUAUUGUUUUGUCAUAUAUAUGAACUAUCUAUCUUAGAUCCUUGAUAUUGAAUUACAUCUUGAUGCAAUGGACCUUGGAGCUAUGAUCAAACAAGGAAAUCAAGCAUCCCUGCAGGAUCGCGCAAAAGCAUUGAUUUUCCUUCGUCAUCAUCUCCAUGAAGGUUUUUUUAAUAAAAAAAAUAGCUUUUGAUGAAAAAUCACCAGUCUCAUCCAACUAGAUUUGAAUCAUUCCCUGAAGUGAAUGCAAUAUUAUCCCAAACUCAUGGACGUGGAUGAGAACGUGAUUGUGGUCGUGAAAGAAAUCCCCGAUACCAUGGUUCUUAUAGUAAUAAUUCUCAGAAAAUGAAAGCCUCAUUGCACCACCAAAAGUGGAACAAAACGAAAUGGAACAAUACUAAGGCAAAACAAGAAAAUGGGAAGUGUUUACAAGAUAAACCUCCUAAGAAUCAUGAGAAUAAUUGUUAUAGAUGUGAUAUUAAGGGGUAUUGGUCACGUACCUGUCGUACGCCCAAACAUUUGGUCGACCUUUACCAAGCAUCAAUAAAAGUUAAAGGAAAAGAGAUAGAGAUGAACUUUACCGAUAGUGAUGGAUUGGACCUAACCUACUAUGACAUCGAUUUUUUUUAGGUCCCAAUAAAAAAACAAACCAUUUGAUAAAUGAUGAGAAAAUUAACAUUGAUUGAUGUUACUUUAUAUAUGAAAUAAUAUAUUAUUAUGUCUUAUAUUUACAUCUGAUUUACUUUGUUAUUUACAUUAUGCCUUGUUUUUUUUUUUGUUAUAUCUGAAAUCCAUGUGUUAUUUGGUCUCAAGAUAAAUGAGGAUGAUGUAUGUCUCGCAGACUGUGCGACCACACACACAAUUCUUCGAGAUAAAAAAUAUUUCCUCGAAUUGACAUUAAUAAAGGCUAAUGUAAGUACCAUAUCUGGUACUACAAACUUAGUUGAAGGCUCUGGAAGAGCAAACAUAACGUUGCCAAAUGGAACUAGAUUCCAUAUAAAUGACGCUUUAUAUUCUAGUAAAUCCAGAAGAAACAUGCUCAGUUUUAAAGAUAUCCGCAGAAAUGGAUAUCAUAUUGAAACUGUGAAUGAAGAUAAUGUAGAAUAUUUUUACAUUACUUCCAUUAUCUGGCUAGAAGCUUAUAAUGGAAAAACUCCCGGCUUUCUCCUCUGGGUUGUAUCAUACAACUAUAAAGCCUAUUGAAUCAUAUGUUGUCAUAAACCAGAAGUUCAACAACCCAAAAGUUUUUAUCCUUUGGCAUGACAGGCUAGGUCACCCAGGGUCUUCAAUGAUGCGUCGAAUAAUCGAACACUCACAUGGGCAUCCACUAAAGAACCAGAAGAUUCUUUCGCCCAAUGAAUACUCAUGUGCUGCCUACUCACAAGGUAAAUUGAUAAUCAGACCAUCUUUUACUAAAGUCAUACAUGAGUCACCAAUCUUUUUAGAAAGAAUACAUGGGGACAUACGUGGGCCUAUCCAUUCACCAUGUGGACCAUUCCGUUAUUUUAUGAUCUUAAUAGAUGCUUCUACUAGGUAGUCACAUGUUUGUCUCCUUUCUACACGUAACGUUGCCUUUGCUAGACUCCUUGCACAAAUAAUCAGAUUACGAGCACAAUUUCCAGAUUAUCCAAUUAAGACAAUACGUCUUGAUAAUGCUAGCGAAUUUACUUCUCAAACAUUCAUUGACUAUUUCAUGUUAGUAGGGAUAAAUAUUGAGCAUCAUGUUGCUCAUACUCAUACCCAAAAUGGUUUAGCAGAAUCCUUCAUCAAACGUCUCCAGUUAAUAGCUUGACCAUUACUAAUGAAAACCAAAUUACCUAUUUCCGCCUGGGGUCAUGCUAUUAUGCAUGCUGCAACUUUAGUCCGUAUUCGACCUACAACUUACCAUGAAUACUCUCCUUCACAACUUGUGCUUGGAAAACAACCAAAUAUCUCUCACUUACGAAUCUUUGGUUGUGUAGUAUAUGUACCAAUUGCACCUACACAACGCACUAAAAUGGGUCCCCAACAAAGACUUGGGAUUUAUGUAGGUUUUGAUUCUCCAUCUAUCAUAAGAUAUCUUGAACCUUUGACAGACGAUGUUUUUAUAGCCUGCUUUGCGGAUUGUCAUUUUAAUAAGAGUGUUUUCCCGUCAUUAGGGGGAGAAAAGUCGAUUCCUGAAGAACGACGAGAAAUUAGUUGGAAAACAUCUACUAUGACCCAUCUUGAUCCUCGUACAAAUCAAUGUGAACUAGAAGUUCAAAGGAUCAUUCAUUUGCAAAAUCUUGCAAAUCAAUUACCAGAUGCAUUCAUUGAUACAAAGAAAGAGACAAAGUCACAUAUCCCGACUGCAAAUACUCCAGCACAGAUUAAUGUCCCUGUAGGACAAUUAACAAAUGAAUCUAAGAUAUGCCUAAAGCGUGGUAGACCUGUUGGCUCAAAGGAUGUAACUCCCCAGAAGAGGAGAACCCAAGAAAACUCGGCACUCUAGAAGAGGCCAUCAAAAUGACUGAUCAGUUUAAAAUUGAUAAAUCUAUAGCCCUAGAAGAGGCACAAAUAACGCAGAAAGCCCCUGAAGAGGCACAUAUUGAACAAGAAGCCCCCGAAGAGGCACAUAUUGAACAAGAAACCCUUGAAGAUCCACAUAUUGAACGAGAAGCCCCUGAAGAGGCACAGGUACCUGAAAAUUGUGAGAUCUCAGUAAGUUAUGUACACACGGGGGAAAAAUGGGAUCAAAAUAAUAUUGUUAUUAACAAUAUUUUUGCUUUCCAAGUGGCCUCUGAUAUCAUAAGAAAUGAUGAAGAUCCCAAACCACGAAAUGUGGAAGAAUGUCGACAUAGAAAUGAUUGGCCAAAAUGGAAAGAAGCUAUACAGGCAGAGUUAAACUCAUUAACAAAACGAGAAGUUUUUGGACCUAUAGUCCAAAUACCUGAAGAUGUAAAGCCUGUUGGGUACAAAUGGGUAUUUGUACGAAAGCGCAAUGAGAAUAAUGAGAUCAUAAGAUAUAAAGCGCGAUUAGUAGCACAAGGUUUCUCGCAAAGACCUGGUAUUGACUACGAGGAAACGUAUUCUCCAAUCAUGGACGCAAUCACAUUUCGUUUCUUAAUUAGUUUGGCAGUCUCAGAAGGACUGGAUAUGCGUCUCAUGGAUGUUAUUACAACAUAUUUAUACGGAUCCAUGGAUAAUGAUAUAUACAUGAAAAUCCCCGAAGGAUUUAAAUUGCCUGAAGUAAAUAAUACAAAGCCUCGUAGCAUGCACUCAAUCAAGUUACAACGAUCCUUGUAUCGAUUAAACCAAUCUGAACGCAUGUGGUACAAUCACCUUAGCGAAUACUUGCUAAAAGAAGGGUAUGUGAAUAACCCUAUAUGCCCAUGCAUCUUCAUUAUGAAAUCAGAAACCGGAUUUGCAAUUAUUGCAAUGUAUGUUGAUGACUUAAAUCUUGUUGGAACUCCUGAAGAGCUCACAAGAACAACAAAUUACUUGAAAAAGGAAUUUGAGAUGAAAGAUCUUGGAAAAAAAAAAUUUUGUCUUGGCCUGCAGAUUGAGCAUUUUCCAAAUGGAGUUUUAGUGCAUCAAUCAACAUACAUAAAGAAAGUUUUGAAGCAUUUUUAUAUGGAUAAAGUGCAUCCUUUAAGUUCUUCAAUGGUUGUCCGAUCACUUGAUGUGAAAAAAGACCCUUUUCGUCCUUGCGAAAAGGAUGAAGAGUUACUUGGUCCUGAAGUACCAUAUCUUAGUGUUAUUGGUGCACUUAUGUAUCUUGCCAAUUGUACACGUUCAGACAUUGCUUUUUCUAUCAAUUUAUUAACAAGAUACAGUUCCGCUCCAACUCGAAGACAUUGGAAUGGUAUCAAACAUAUAUUGCGUUAUCUUCGCGGAACUACUGAUAUGGGUUUAUUUUACUCAAGGGAAUCAAAGCAACAAUUGCUUGGAUAUGCAGAUGCAGAAUAUCUUUCAGAUCCACAUAAAGGUAGAUCACAAACAGGGUAUGUGUUUAAUUGCAAUGGUACUGCUAUUUCAUGGAGAUCUGUCAAAUAAACAAUGGUGGCCACAUCAUCAAAUCAUUCAGAAAUACUAGCAAUUCAUGAAGCAAGUCGUGAAUGUAUAUGGCUAAGAUCUAUGAUCCAGCAUAUUCGGGAAUCAUGUAGACUCUCCUCUAUUAAAGGUGACCCGAAAAUAUUAUUUGAAGAUAAUGUUGCAUGCAUUGCACAAAUAACAGGGGGUUAUAUUAAAGGAGAUAGAUCUAAACAUAUUUCACCAAAAUUCUUUUAUACACAUGAACUCCAGAAGAGUGGUGAAAUUGAUGUGCAACAAAUACGCUCAAGUGAUAAUCUAGCAAAUUUAUUCACAAAAUCAUUGCCAACCUCAACAUUCAAGAAGUUAAUACACAUGAUUGGAAUGCAUCAACUCAAGGAUAUCGACAUGAGGGGGAGUAUGCUUGUAAAAGGGUGUUAGUGUACUGUACUUUUUUUUCCUUUGUUUAGGUUUUGUCCUACUGGGUUUUACUGGCAAGGUUUUUAACGAGGCAGUCCUAAUAUACCAAGAAAAGAAUAUUGUACUCUUUUUCCUUCGCUAAGUUUUCCUAUAGGGUUUUUUACAAGCAAGGUUUUAAUGAGGCAUAUUCUUUCAAUGUGAAAGUGGUGGACAUCCAAGGGGGAGUGUUAUAAUUGUAGUAAUGAAUGUCACCACAUUAAUGUUAAUUAAGUAUUAUUUAUGACUUAAUGGAAGUCAUUAAUGUUAUUUAUGAGUUUCAUUAAUAUUCAUUAAUGGGGAUAUUAAUGGAAGCCAUUUGGAAAGCCUAUAAAAGGGCUUCCCGUCUCCUGUAAUACACAUCCCGAGAAAAAGAAAGAAAAAUUCUUCCUCUCAUUCUCUCUCUCUCUUUUCAUUCUCUCAACUAUCUUCUCUGAUUUCUUCUUCCUUAUUAUAUAUCAAAGUAAGAUAUAUUUCAUCUCUACUACUUUGAUUUGCAUUGUUAUUAUCCUUGUUUUACAACAUAAAACAAAUUUUUAAAAAUAAUAAUUAAAAACAUUUUUUAUAUUUUUAAAAACAAUUUUAAAAAUUAAAAUGAAAUAAAAAAUAGUUUUUAAAAGCAAUUUUCAGAAAAUAUGCCAAAUGGGUCCUAAGAUUGUUUAAUUAGGGUUCUUCUAUAAAAGAUGAAAAAUAUUAAAAUUUUGUUUUUAAAUAAUAUAAUGAUUUAUUUAACUAUAGGUCAAAUUUCCUAUCAAAAUAAAAAAUUAUUUAAAAUUUUUAAUAUUCUUAUUCUGGUGAAUAUGUUACAAUGAUAAAUACUUAGAUAUUAUUUUUCAAACUUUUGGUAAUUUUAAAUCAUAAUUAACCAAAUUCCUUAAACUACUUUCUAAUUAAAUUUCCCUUUAACUAAUUAACAAAGAUUUUCUAAAAAAAAAAAUGGCAGUAAUAUUUAUUUAUUAUAAUAUUGAAAUUUCUAUAUAUAGAAGUAUACAAUUUAUUUAGGAGGCGUUGGGAUUUACUUCUCAAAGAAAACAAUUUUAUUUUUUCUUUUGGGUCCUUGGGCUGUUUAGGAUGAGGUUAAAAAAAAUAAUUGGAGGGCCCAAAUAAAAAUACAAGCAUUGGAUCCUUUCGUUCCAACAAAUAGAAGACCGAAAAGGCCCAACUAAAAUGCAAGCCCAUUGGGUACUUUCAUUCCCUUGGUUGGAUGCCUAUUAUGAGGAAAUUAAUUCUUAACCCAAUGUGACCCAAAUAUUUUUAAGGGGUUUAGGUUCGAGUUUUGCUUUUAUUUGAGGUAAGGCCCAAAAUUCAAGUUGGGCAAGCAAAUGGGCCGAAUUCAGGUUAAAAAUAAAUUUGGCACAACCUA
rnacentral:lncRNA from 1 species